rnacentral:rRNA from 1 species
UAACACGUAGCUAAUCUAACCUCAGGUUGGAGAUAACCCCGGGAAACUGGGAUUAAUAACCAAUAUUUGAAGAUAACUGGAAUGUUUCUUCAUUGAAAAGAUGUUAAAACCACGCUUUUAAUAUUGCCCGAGGAUGAGGCUGCGGCCGAUCAGGUUGUUGGUGAGGUAAUGGCUCACCAAGCCUAUAACCGGUACGGGCCGUGAGAGCGGUAGCCUGGAGAUGGGUACUGAGACAAGGACCCAGGUCCUACGGGGCGCAGCAGCAGCGAAAACUCCGCAAUGCGCGAAAGCGUGACGGGGCUACCCCGAGUGCAAUCCGCUGAGGAAUGCUUUUCUCCUGUGUAAUAAACUAGAGGAAUAAGAGGAGGGCAAGCCUGGUGUCAGCCGCCGCGGUAAUACCAGCUCCUCGAGUGGUAAGGAUGAUUAUUGGGCCUAAAGCGUCCGUAGCCGGUUUUUUAAAGUCUUCUGUUAAAUCCAACGACCUAAUCGUUGGGCUGCUGAAGAUACUAUAAGACUAGGAGGCGGGAGAGGCUGACGGUAUUCCUGGGGUAGGGGUGAAAUCCUAUAAUGCCAGGAGGACCACCAGUGGCGAAGGCGGUCAGCUAGAACGCGCUCGACGGUGAGGGACGAAAGCUGGGGGAGCGAUCCGGAUUAGAUACCCGGGUAGUCCCAGCUGUAAACUAUGCAGGCUAGGUGUUGGUCUAACUACGUGUUAUGCCAGUGCCGCAGGGAAACUGUUUAGCCUGCCGCCUGGGGAGUACGGUCGCAAGACUGAAAC